rnacentral:rRNA from 1 species
UACAGAGGGGGCAAGCGUUGUUCGGAAUUACUGGGCGUAAAGGGCGCGUAGGCGGCCUGCUAAGUCGAACGUGAAAUCCCCGGGCUCAACCCGGGAACUGCGUCCGAUACUGGUAGGCUUGAAUCCGGGAGAGGGAUGCGGAAUUCCAGGUGUAGCGGUGAAAUGCGUAGAUAUCAGGAGGAACACCGGUGGCGAAGGCGGUUCUCUGGGCAACAACUGACGCUGAGGAGCGAAAGCGUGGGGAGCGAACAGG